rnacentral:rRNA from 1 species
GACGAACGCUGGCGGCGUGCUUAACACAUGCAAGUCGAACGGAAAGGCCCUGCUUUUGUGGGGUGCUCGAGUGGCGAACGGGUGAGUAACACGUGAGUAACCUGCCCUUGACUUUGGGAUAACUUCAGGAAACUGGGGCUAAUACCGGAUAGGAGCUCCUGCUGCAUGGUGGAGGUUGGAAAGUUUCGGCGGUUGGGGAUGGACUCGCGGCUUAUCAGCUUGUUGGUGGGGUAGUGGCUUACCAAGGCUUUGACGGGUAGCCGGCCUGAGAGGGUGACCGGCCACAUUGGGACUGAGAUACGGCCCAGACUCCUACGGGAGGCAGCAGUGGGGAAUAUUGCACAAUGGGCGGAAGCCUGAUGCAGCAACGCCGCGUGCGGGAUGACGGCCUUCGGGUUGUAAACCGCUUUCGCCUGUGACGAAGCGUGAGUGACGGUAAUGGGUAAAGAGGCACCGGCUAACUACGUG